GAGUGCCCUCUCGGAUGUGAAGAAAAGUUGACAUUUUUUUUAUAUUUGCAGGUCUGCCUGGCUGUGGAGGAUGGACGUCGACAUAUAUAGGAGUCUCCAUAACAAUAAGUAGUAGCGCUAUUCCUUUACCCUUCUUGGUCAUAGCAAUGUAGUGGGAGCUACAAGCUUCACGUGUUUUAACUUUGUCAGAGCACUUUGAAAAAGUGGUCUGUUGUAUCUGGAAAGCUGAUGUUGCGUGUGAAGAUUGCAGACAAGCUUUAUCCAAGGAAAUCUGGCUCUCAAAGUUCAAAGAGCAGUGCCUCUUCGGUUUUCGAACAAGCAAUCCUGUCGGGGAUCUAGCUCUCGAGAUUCAGAGAACGGUGCCUCUU
rnacentral:lncRNA from 1 species